UGCCAGACUCCUACGGGAGGCAGCAGUGGGGAAUAUUGCACAAUGGGGGAAACCCCGAUGCAGCGACGCCGCGUGAGCGAUGAAGUAUUUCGGUAUGUAAAGCUCUAUCAGCAGGGAAGAAAAUGACGGUACCUGACUAAGAAGCCCCGGCUAACUACGUGCCAGCAGCCGCGGUAAUACGUAGGGGGCAAGCGUUAUCCGGAUUUACUGGGUGUAAAGGGAGCGUAGACGGUUGUGCAAGUCAGAAGUGAAAGCCCGGGGCUCAACUCCGGGACUGCUUUUGAAACUGUGAAACUGGAGUGCAGGAGAGGUAAGCGGAAUUCCUGGUGUAGCGGUGAAAUGCGUAGAUAUCAGGAGGAACACCAGUGGCGAAGGCGGCUUACUGGACUGUAACUGACGUUGAGGCUCGAAAGCGUGGGGAGCAAACAGGAUUAGAUACCCCAGUACUA
rnacentral:rRNA from 1 species